ACAGAGAGCCAGCCAGCGAGAGAGGGAACACAGCAGGUGGAGUGGGAGAGGAAGAAGCAGGCUCCCAGCGGAGGAGCCUGAUGUGGGGCUCGAUCUCAGGACCCCGGGAUCACGCCCUGAGCCGAAGGCAGACGCUUAACAACUGAGCCACCCAGGCGUCCCAAGAAUCAUCUGCCUUUUAACAUACACAUCAGAAACUAAAAAACCACAGACAUAUCAUAAUGCACUGGAUGAAAGAAAAAGUCUCCUGACGUCCACUGCCAGCCAAAUGAGCAGCAGGCAGUGACUCGUACCCUCCCCAGAAAACAAGGUAGCCAGGAACACAGAGAACAAAGGAUUCCCAGGACACAUCGAUAUAACCGAUGACACUGAAGUUAUCGAUGCAUAAAUAAAGA
rnacentral:lncRNA from 1 species